GACGAACGCUGGCGGCGUGCUUAACACAUGCAAGUCGAGCGGAAAGGCCCUUCGGGGUACUCGAGCGGCGAACGGGUGAGUAACACGUGGGUAACCUGCCCCUUGCUCUGGGAUAACUCCGGGAAACCGGGGCUAAUACCGGAUAUGACACUUGAAGGCAUCUUUGGGUGUGGAAAGUUUUUCGGCGAGGGAUGGACCCGCGGCCUAUCAGCUUGUUGGUGGGGUAAUGGCCUACCAAGGCAGUGACGGGUAGCCGGCCUGAGAGGGCGACCGGCCACACUGGGACUGAGACACGGCCCAGACUCCUACGGGAGGCAGCAGUGGGGAAUAUUGCGCAAUGGGCGAAAGCCUGACGCAGCGACGCCGCGUGA
rnacentral:rRNA from 1 species